CCUACGGGAGGCAGCAGUGGGGAAUUUUGGACAAUGGGCGCAAGCCUGAUCCAGCCAUUCCGCGUGCAGGAUGAAGGCCUUCGGGUUGUGAACUGCUUUUGUACGGAACGAAAAGGCUCUGGCUAAUACCUGGGGCUCAUGACGGUACCGUAAGAAUAAGCACCGGCUAACUACGUGCCAGCAGCCGCGGUAAUACGUAGGGUGCGAGCGUUAAUCGGAAUUACUGGGCGUAAAGCGUGCGCAGGCGGUUAUGAAAAACAGGGGUAAAAUCCCCGGGCUCAACCGGGGAACGGCCUUUGAGACUGCAUGACUAGAGUACGGCAGAGGGGAAUGGAAUUCCGCGUGUAGCAGUGAAAUGCGUAGAUAUGCGGAGGAACACCGAUGGCGAAGGCAACCCCCGGGGCCUGUACUGACGCUCAUGCACGAAAGCGGGGGGAGCAAACGGGAUUAGAUACCCCUGUAGU
rnacentral:rRNA from 1 species